rnacentral:lncRNA from 1 species
UAUCUAAAAGAUAUAAAAUUUUGAUAAAAAUAUCAAAAAUAUCCUUCAGUAGAAAGCUACCGUGCAAUUUGAUCCUACGAUCAUCCUAUAUUCCGAAUAUGACUCUAGAUAUGGAAUAAUAUCCAAUCCAAUAUCAUAUUCAUAUUUCUUUUAAACUUUAAUGAUGAUUCGAUUAAUAAAAUAUUAAAAUCUCUUUCUAAUUUUUAUUUCAUUUUGAUCAAAGGCUUCCUAAAUCAUCAAUUGAUUAGAGCAAGUAGGAUGCGAUCUUCUCUUACCAAGAGUGAUCGAUUUCAUGUUAACCUACUCACAAUCUUCAUAUAUAUUCCACCACAUCC